rnacentral:rRNA from 1 species
GUGAACGCUGGCGGUAGGCCUAACACAUGCAAGUCGAACGGCAGCACAGUAAGAGCUUGCUCUUACGGGUGGCGAGUGGCGGACGGGUGAGGAAUACAUCGGAAUCUACUUUUUCGUGGGGGAUAACGUAGGGAAACUUACGCUAAUACCGCAUACGACCUACGGGUGAAAGCAGGGGAUCUUCGGACCUUGCGCGAUUGAAUGAGCCGAUGUCGGAUUAGCUAGUUGGCGGGGUAAAGGCCCACCAAGGCGACGAUCCGUAGCUGGUCUGAGAGGAUGAUCAGCCACACUGGAACUGAGACACGGUCCAGACUCCUACGGGAGGCAGCAGUGGGGAAUAUUGGACAAUGGGCGCAAGCCUGAUCCAGCCAUACCGCGUGGGUGAAGAAGGCCUUCGGGUUGUAAAGCCCUUUUGUUGGGAAAGAAAAGCAGCAGGUUAAUACCCCGCUGUUCUGACGGUACCCAAAGAAUAAGCACCGACUAACUUCGUG